AUUGAACGCUGGCGGCAUGCUUUACACAUGCAAGUCGAACGGCAGCGCGGGGCAACCUGGUGGCGAGUGGCGAACGGGUGAGUAAUAUAUCGGAACGUACCCAGAAGUGGGGGAUAACGUAGCGAAAGUUACGCUAAUACCGCAUACGAUCUACGGAUGAAAGUGGGGGACCUUCGGGCCUCAUGCUUUUGGAGCGGCCGAUAUCUGAUUAGCUAGUAGGUAGGGUAAAGGCCUACCUAGGCGACGAUCAGUAGCUGGUCUGAGAGGACGACCAGCCACACUGGAACUGAGACACGGUCCAGACUCCUACGGGAGGCAGCAGUGGGGAAUUUUGGACAAUGGGCGCAAGCCUGAUCCAGCAAUGCCGCGUGAGUGAAGAAGGCCUUCGGGUUGUAAAGCUCUUUUGUCAGGGAAGAAACGGUUGGGGCUAAUAUCCUCGGCUAAUGACGGUACCUGAAGAAUAAGCACCGGCUAACUACGUGCCAGCAGCCGCCGCCG
rnacentral:rRNA from 1 species